rnacentral:rRNA from 1 species
GAUGAACGCUGGCGGCGUGCUUAACACAUGCAAGUCGAACGAAGCACUUUAUUUGAUUUCCUUCGGGACUGAUUAUUUUGUGACUGAGUGGCGGACGGGUGAGUAACGCGUGGGUAACCUGCCUUGUACAGGGGGAUAACAGUUGGAAACGGCUGCUAAUACCGCAUAAGCGCACAGCAUCGCAUGAUGCAGUGUGAAAAACUCCGGUGGUAUAAGAUGGACCCGCGUUGGAUUAGCUAGUUGGUGAGGUAACGGCCCACCAAGGCGACGAUCCAUAGCCGACCGGAGAGGGUGACAGGCCACAUUGGGACUGAGACACGGCCCAAACUCCUACGGGAGGCAGCAGGGGGGAAUAUUGCACAAUGGGCGAAAGCCUGAUGCAGCGACGCCGCGUGAGCGAAGAAGUAUUUCGGUAUGUAAAGCUCUAUCAGCAGGGAAGAUAAUGACGGUACCUGACUAAGAAGCACCGGCUAAAUACGUG